rnacentral:rRNA from 1 species
AGCAGUAGCCACGGGAAUACGUAGGGGGCAAGCGUUGUCCGGAAUCAUUGGGCGUAAAGAGCGUGUAGGCGGCUUGGUAAGUCUGCUGUGAAAGUCCAGGGCUCAACCCUGGAAUGCCGGUGGAAACUGUCAAGCUAGAGUCCGGAAGAGGCGAGUGGAAUUCCUGGUGUAGCGGUGAAAUGCGCAGAUAUCAGGAGGAACACCAAUGGCGAAGGCAGCUCGCUGGGACGGUACUGACGCUGAGACGCGAAAGUGUGGGGAGCAAACAGGAUUAGAUACCCGUGUAGUCCCUGUCUCUUAUAC